UACGUAGGGGGCAAGCGUUGUCCGGAAUCAUUGGGCGUAAAGCGCGUGUAGGCGGCUUGGUAAGUCCGCUCUGAAAGUCCAGGGCUCAACCCUGGAAAGCGGGUGGAUACUGCCGGGCUAGAAUCCGGAAGAGGCGAGUGGAAUUCCUGGUGUAGCGGUGAAAUGCGCAGAUAUCAGGAAGAACACCAAUGGCGAAAGCAGCUCUCUGGGACGGUACUGACGCUGAGACGCGAAAGCGUGGGGAGCGAACAGG
rnacentral:rRNA from 1 species